rnacentral:tRNA from 1 species
GCCGACGUAGCUCAGUUGGUAGAGCAACGCUUUCGUAAAGCGUGGGUCGUGGGUUCGAUUCCCGCCGUCGGCUCCA